UUAUAUUUGUUUUCUUUUACAUUAUUUUCUGUAAGAGUCCUAAAAAGGCAAUCAGAGUUCCUUCAGCCUCAGUGCAGUGAUGAAGUGAUCUUGUGUUGAUUACCUGUAAUCAGAGCACACACUCCAAAUCACAGCCUACACAUACUGACCGCAGUGACCUUACCACGUAAAACCACGACAGAUCAUAUGCGGCUAUUCGACAAUGCUGAUUUUCAUUCCGUUUGUUUGUAUGGACAUAGACAGACAGACAUUGCUAGAUAAACAGAUAGAUAGACAGACAGACAGAGAGAGAGAUAGAUAGAUAGAUAGACAUAGAUAGACAGAUAGAUAGAGAGACACAUAGACAUAGAUAGAUCUUCCGAAAACACAGUGCCUCAGUUUCUAUUUCAUCAUCAUCUUUGAACCUUUUCAUCACCUGACGUCACUGAUGUGGUCUGUGGGUUGGUCUUUCAUCAAGCAGAUGAUCUAAUGGAGUAACUUCUAGGGUAAUUAUGAGGCAACUGUCUCAAACAGCAGUAAUGAAUCAUGCGAUGUAAAGCAGUCUCAUGCCUGUGCGAUGGGAAAUCCAUGGACAAUGAACACAACUUCUGCGUGUAGACUGGAGCAGUCUAGGACACGGUUCCUGAUUUUGAAUUACUCUCUGCUCUGUUUGACUUUCCUCAUCGGGACUGCGGCGAAUCUGCUCGUGUGUUGGGUCGCUUUCCGAGAUAAAAGCCUGCGCACUGGCAGCAACGCGCUGCUGGUGAACCUGGCCGCUGGAGAUCUGAUCAGAUGUUUAGUAGACUCUCCGGUGUUCUUGGCCUUGUUAGUUCUGAGAGAGAAGCGCGUGAGGAACGGCUCGGUGCUGUGCCGCGUUCAGCAGCUCACUUAUUUACUGUGCAGCUGCGCUCAGUUACUCACACUGGCGACCAUCAGCGUGGAGAGAUCCCAGACCAUCGCGUCUCCGUUUAGCACCGACAAAAGGAAAGGACGGGUCCGGAUCUGGAUCCUGAUUAUUUGGAUCUUUGCACUUACAGUCGCGGUGUCCUCUCUGAUUCUGUCCGCAGAUCCCCUGUCCUACUCAAUGUGCCGCCACCUGCACUCUUUCGACGCCUAUGUUUUGAUUCCCAUCUGGACCUUAUGUGUUAUUUUGAUAACCGUUAACUACUUGCGCAUCUUCGUCGUCGUGAAGCAGCACUCUAAUAAGAUCUUGGACUCGGGAGUGCAGCCGAGGCUGUGUGUAGUGACGCGCGUCUCAAGCGGCCGGCUGGCCCAGUCCAGUGCACUAGAGGCGGGGGGAGGUGAGGGGAACUACCCGCGCUCGGGCCCUGAGAUCGUGGGCGCUGUUUGUGUUCUCACCCCUAAAGCCAAAGCGCUGGGCAAAGCAAGAGUAGAGGGAAAAUUAGCCAAGAGACUCGGCUACAUCAUCGCAAAUGUGGUCGUGUUCUGGAUGCCGCUGGUCCUCCUACUGACACUCAGACUGGUGCUGGAGUGCACAGAGUGCUGUAUUUGGGGAAUGUGGGAGCUGGAGACCUUGGCGACAGUAUUGACGUGUGUACCUGCUGCUGUGGACCCGCUCAUAUACACGCUGCUCCAUCGCCACUUCUGCACCGAGUUCCGCAAACUCUUCUGCACCAAUCAGAGCUGCUGAUAACUGAUUGACCAAUCAGGAGCCGGCUCUGUGAAGAAGAUGAAGCCUUGUUUGAUCUGUAUCAAAUCUACUAAUCUAAAACAUCUACUGGGAUAAGAAAGGUUUAAUAUUCUGGUCUUGAAACAGAAAUAUAUGGUUAGAAGGCAAAGCUUCUUUAAUAAUUAGACCAGAUUUUUGACUCCUUUUUGUGUUUUCAUUAAUGAUGAAUGCAAACCAAAAUUCCCAGAUGAUAGUUUCUUUCUGAAAGAGCAUUCAGGGAUCUGCACAAAAUCACAUAAUUAAAACCAUUGCAUUUAUAAUGCCUGCACUUGACAUAGACUGGGGGCUUGGAUUCAUGAACUACCACACAUUACUUCUCAAGAAAUUAUGCCUGAUAACCUUUUUAGAAACGCACAGAUUUAUGUGUUCAACUUGUAUAAACAUUUUGUAGGUCUAUUAAGGUUCUGUGUUUGUGUCCAGAAGGUUACAAGGUCAAAUCCCACACCUUCUAGCAGGCCACUGUUGAGCCCUUGGAUUGUGCUUCACUUGUAAAUCCUGUUGGAUGAAAGCGACUCCUGAAUUAAUAAAUAUAAAUGUACAAACAGCACCAAACACUAUUUAUUUAUUUAUUUAUUUGGUGUAAAAUCUAUGUUUAAUAUAAGUUGAUACAGACAUUUAAAACAUGUAAUUGAUAAAGAGAGAAAUGAAUAACUUUCUGCUUCUUUGACUAACCAGGAAGUGUUUGGGCUAGCUGUUUUAAAAUGCAAAGGACUCUCAGUACUUUUAUGCAUCGAGACCACAGAAAUAUACAGAACUGCGUAAAUGUCAGAGACCACCCUUUCGUUUUCAAUCAAACGGUCAUUUGGUACUUAUUGCUAAUUAUUUAAUGGCAAAGAAUAAUGAUGGGAAAAUGUACAGUACAUUCAUUCUAUGUUCAGCCAUGCAGUACUUUAUGCAGAUCAAUAUGCAAGUGC
ensembl:lncRNA